rnacentral:lncRNA from 1 species
CCAACAUCUACAAACACACACCGGGGCCAAAAAUCAGCACAUCUAUCUCGGACGCGUCACACUUUGUAAAUGACAUUCUCUCUUGCAUUCCUAGGGUCUGCACGCUGCUAAACACACCGAACCCGUUCACCCUUCGAGCCUAGGGAGCCAAGGUAAUAUGCAUUCGCCUUCCAAUGCAUCUGAUGGGGCGCUGUGCGCUGGGAUGGGCCGACAAAUGUCACGAAUCAGCAUUGGGGCUGAGCGCUACCCAGAGACUGUCGGGGCUCUGAUGGAUUUGGCCAGACUGAAAGACAGGCAAGAGAGUGUGGAGGCCCGUGUGGCGCAACUGCAGGCAAACAAGGCCGAUCUGAGCCAGCUUCAACAUCUGCAUGAUCUCCUCACUGCCAUAGAGCAGAAGCAGAUUCCCGAUCAUGUGCCAGAACAGCUGAAUCAUCUGAGGACUCUUGUGGACAGUCUUCUAGCUGAUAAAGAGAAGGUAUGA